AUCACUUCUCGGCCUUUUGGCUAAGAUCAUGUCUGUUCCUGUCAGUUUUAAUAUCUGAUACAUCCCUGAAUUAGGGAGUAAAUAUUUAUCUGAUUUUUGCAGGAAGAUGUUGGUUUAGGAGCUUGCUCAACCAACUUCGCACAUCGUCCUGGUGUUUCAGUGUUUCUGGGAAUGGUGCACCCCUC